rnacentral:rRNA from 1 species
CACGAACCGUACGAACGUUAUUCGGAAUUACUGGGCUUAAAGGGUUUGUAGGCGGCCUUAUAAGUCAGGUGUGAAAGCCCUCGGCUCAACCGAGGAAUAGCGCUUGAUACUGUAAGGCUUGAGGGAGACAGGGGUAAGCGGAACUGAUGGUGGAGCGGUGAAAUGCGUUGAUAUCAUCAGGAACACCGGUGGCGAAGGCGGCUUUCUGGGUCUU